UCUUGGUGAAUGUUGGACAUGAGCUUGAGAAGAAUCUGUAUUCUACUGUGUGUAGAAUUUGAAAU